rnacentral:rRNA from 1 species
AUUGAACGCUGGCGGCAGGCCUAACACAUGCAAGUCGAACGAGUGGCGGACGGGUGAGUAAUGUCUGGGAAACUGCCUGAUGGAGGGGGAUAACUACUGGAAACGUUAGCUAAUACCGCAUACCAUCGGAUGUGCCCAGAUGGGAUUAGCUGGUGGGGGGGGUAAAGGCUCACCUAGGCGACGAUCCCUAGCUGGUCUGAGAGGAUGACCAGCCACACGGGAACUGAGACACGGUCCAGACUCGUACGGGAGGCGGCAGUGGGGAAUAUUGGAAAAUGGGCGCAGGCCUGAUGAAGCAAUGCCGGGUAGAGGAAGAAGGCCUUGGGGUUGUAAAGUACGUUCAGCGGGGAGGCGUUACCCGAAGAAGAAGCACCGGCUAACUCCGUGCCAGCAGCCGCGGUAAUUC